rfam:Myotis lucifugus cont2.38172, whole genome shotgun sequence.
GCCAGUGAACUCAGUGGGUAGAGCAUUUGGUUCGAGUACCAAAGGGUCAUGGGUUUGAUUCCCAAUCAAUGGCA